GAUGAAGAACGCAGCGAAAUGCGAUAAGUAAUGUGAAUUGCAGAAUUCAGUGAAUCAUCGAAUCUUUGAACGCACCUUGCGCCCUUUGGCCAUUCCGAAGGGCAUGCCUGUUUGAGUAUCAUGAACACCUCAACUCUCAUGGCUCGCCAUGAUGAGCUUGGACUUUGGGGGUCUUGCUGGCCUGUGGUCGGCUCCUCUCAAAUGGAUCAGCUUGCCAGUGUUUGGUGGCAUCACAGGUGUGAUAACUAUCUGCGCUUGUGGUUUUCCAUCAGAUAACCUUCAGUGAUGGAGGUUCGCUGGAGCUCAUAAACGUCUCCCCUAAGCGGGGACAGCCCUUUGAAUGUUUGAUCUCAAAUCAGGUAGGACUACCCGCUGAACUUAAGCAUAUCAAUAAGCGGGGA
rnacentral:misc_RNA from 1 species